AGCGAACGCUGGCGGCAGGCUUAACACAUGCAAGUCGAGCGGGCGUAGCAAUACGUCAGCGGCAGACGGGUGAGUAACGCGUGGGAACAUACCUUUUGGUUCGGAACAACACAGGGAAACUUGUGCUAAUACCGGAUAAGCCCUUACGGGGAAAGAUUUAUCGCCGAAAGAUUGGCCCGCGUCUGAUUAGCUAGUUGGUGAGGUAACGGCUCACCAAGGCGACGAUCAGUAGCGGUCUGAGAGGAUGAUCAGCCACAUUGGGACUGAGACACGGCCCAAACUCCUACGGGAGGCAGCAGUGGGGAUAUUGGACAAUGGCGCAAGCCUGAUCCAGCCAUGCCGCGUGAGUGAUGAAGG
rnacentral:rRNA from 1 species